GAGCGGGCAUCAGCAAGAUGUCAGCGGCAGACGGGAGAGUACACGUGGGAACGUGCCCUUCAGUUCGGAACAACCCAGGGAAACUUGGGCUGAUACCGGAUACGUACGUAAGGAGAAAGAUUUAUCGCUGAAGGAUCGGCCCGCGUCUGAUUAGCUAGUUGGUGGGGUAAUGGCUCACCAAGGCGACGAUCAGUAGCUGGUCUGAGAGGAUGAUCAGCCUCACUGGGACUGAGACACGGCCCAGACUCCUACGGGAGGCAGCAGUGGGGAAUAUUGGACAAUGGGCGCAAGCCUGAUCCAGCCAUGCCGCGUGGGUGAUGAAGGCCCUAGGGUUGUAAAGCCCUUUCGGCGGGGAAGAUAAUGACGGUACCCGCAGAAGAAGCCCCGGCUAACUUCGCGCCAGCAGCCGCGGUAAU
rnacentral:rRNA from 1 species